rnacentral:rRNA from 1 species
AUGAACGCUAGCUACAGGCUUAACACAUGCAAGUCGAGGGGCAGCAUGAACUUAGCUUGCUAAGUUUGAUGGCGACCGGCGCACGGGUGAGUAACACGUAUCCAACCUGCCGAUGACUCGGGGAUAGCCUUUCGAAAGAAAGAUUAAUACCCGAUGGCAUAGUUCUUCCGCAUGGUAGAACUAUUAAAGAAUUUCGGUCAUCGAUGGGGAUGCGUUCCAUUAGGUUGUUGGCGGGGUAACGGCCCACCAAGCCUUCGAUGGAUAGGGGUUCUGAGAGGAAGGUCCCCCACAUUGGAACUGAGACACGGUCCAAACUCCUACGGGAGGCAGCAGUGAGGAAUAUUGGUCAAUGGACGAGAGUCUGAACCAGCCAAGUAGCGUGAAGGAUGACUGCCCUAUGGGUUGUAAACUUCUUUUAUACGGGAAUAAAGUGAGGCACGUGUGCCUUUUUGUAUGUACCGUAUGAAUAAGGAUCGGCUAACUCCGUGCCAGCAGCCGCGGUAAUACGGAGGAUCCGAGCGUUAUCCGGAUUUAUUGGGUUUAAAGGGAGCGUAGGCGGACGCUUAAGUCAGUUGUGAAAGUUUGCGGCUCAACCGUAAAAUUGCAGUUGAUACUGGGUGUCUUGAGUACAGUAGAGGCAGGCGGAAUUCGUGGUGUAGCGGUGAAAUGCUUAGAUAUCACGAAGAACUCCGAUUGCGAAGGCAGCUUGCUGGACUGUAACUGACGCUGAUGCUCGAAAGUGUGGGUAUCAAACAGGAUUAGAUACCCUGGUAGUCCACGCCGUAAACGAUGAAUACUAGGUGUCGGGGCCGUAGAGGCUUCGGUGCCGCAGCCAACGCAGUAAGUAUUCCACCUGGGGAGUACGUUCGCAAGAAUGAAACUCAAAGGAAUUGACGGGGGCCCGCACAAGCGGAGGAACAUGUGGUUUAAUUCGAUGAUACGCGAGGAACCUUACCCGGGCUUGAAUUGCAACUGAAUGAUGUGGAGACAUGUCAGCCGCAAGGCAGUUGUGAAGGUGCUGCAUGGUUGUCGUCAGCUCGUGCCGUGAGGUGUCGGCUUAAGUGCCAUAACGAGCGCAACCCUUAUCGAUAGUUACCAUCAGGUUAUGCUGGGGACUCUGUCGAGACUGCCGUCGUAAGAUGUGAGGAAGGUGGGGAUGACGUCAAAUCAGCACGGCCCUUACGUCCGGGGCUACACACGUGUUACAAUGGGGGGUACAGAAGGCAGCUACACGGCGACGUGAUGCUAAUCCCGAAAGCCUCUCUCAGUUCGGAUUGGAGUCUGCAACCCGACUCCAUGAAGCUGGAUUCGCUAGUAAUCGCGCAUCAGCCACGGCGCGGUGAAUACGUUCCCGGGCCUUGUACACACCGCCCGUCAAGCCAUGAAAGCCGGGGGUACCUGAAGUGCGUAACCGCAAGGAGCGCCCUAGGGUAAAACUGGUGAUUGGGGCU